AUGUGGCUGAGUGUGAAUAACACUUAUUCCGUUCACUCCUGGAGUACUGUUUUGCUGCGCUAUCUUGCUCAUUUGGGCACUCUCCCUUGCCAACACAGGUCAGGUAGAAAUGAGAGCAGGGUGAUCAGUCGCUUCCACAAUAAACUGCCAAAAAAUCUUCACAUGUACCUGCGUCUCCAGCCCGCCCGCCCCCAGGCAGCCUCCACUCCGAGCGGCCCCGCGCGGCGGCCCAACCCGACCCAGGUCUCCCACCCCGGGAGUCAGCUAGGAGGUGGGACGAUUACGAAACCGGCCGCCCGUUCCGCCACCACGGCCACCACGGCCACCGGCUUUCCCUCCUCACCGGGACGGCGCGCGCCGCUGCCGCCUCCAAGACCAAUCUCCUACAUAACUUUUAAAUUUCAAUAUCCAAUUCUUCAUUUAUAGCAAGUAUACACAGACCUGAACUUUUAUAUAUACCUUGUGUUUUCUAAUCCUGCUAAAUUCAAAUACAAGUUCUAGGGGCUCCUAGAGAUUUCUUAGUAUUUUCUCUGUAUUUCAUCUACAUAUAAAGAUUUUGCUUCUACCUUGCCAAUCCUAUCCUAAUUGUGUCAUUUUAUUGCCAGACUAUUUUGGUUUAGGCCUAUGUUUCAAAGUUUAAUGGACAGAUGAAGAGUAUCUGCCCUUGCUCCCCAACUUAGGGAGAAAGCAUUGUAUCUUCUCCAUUCAUUUAAGACGUUUUUGCUGGAAGUAUGGAGUGCAUGUCUUUGAUCUGUUGAGAAGGUUCUGUUCUACUUCUAGUCUCCUGAUAGCUUUUACCAUGAACAGCUGUAGAAUUUAGUCGAAUACUUUUUCUCCAACUAGUGACAGGAUCAUAUGGCUUUCUCCUUUCCUCUGUUAAAAUGAUUACUUUUGGGGGUGGAUCUUCCAAUGCUGAACCAACACUGCCAUCCCUAUAACAAAACCACUUUCUACAUAUUGACAGAUCUGACUUCUAAUAGUUUGUUUUGUUAAACAAAUGUCUAUCUAUAUUCAUACUUCUUCGUCUGUUAUCUUUAUCCAGUUUUAGGAUUAGCACAAUGUUGAGUUCCUAAAAUGAGGGGAGAAGUGGUCCUUCUUUUUUCUGCUUUAAUUGUUUGAUAUAAUUAAUCAGUUAAAAUGUAUAUGAGCCUGCUGUUGUCAUUUAGGUAGGUUUUCAAGCUAGGAAUAUACUUUCUUUAAUAGGUGCUAUUCAAAUUUUAUAUUUCCUCCAGAGUUAGUUUCAUUAAUUUGUCUUCCAAGGUACUUCUUAGAAGUUGUCAAG
rnacentral:lncRNA from 1 species